GGGCUCCAGCCGACCGUCUCUCAAGCCUGCAGCUCGGGCCAGGACGUGGAGGGCCCGGCGCCCGCUGGCCGGGCUCCUCCAGCCCAGUGGCCCGAGGGAGGGCUGCGAGGCGGUCAGAAGGCAAACAGCCACGACGCCGCUGCGGUGUCACACCCGCGCCCCCUCGUGAAUUCCAAGGGGCUUCAGACCAGAGGGGUCGUUAGGGAAAGGGCUGCGCCCACAGACGCCCCCGAGGCCACCUGCACGGCUCCGCGGCCCGGGACCAGGGGGGCCUGGCCUUCGCCGUGGUGCCCACCACCCGGGCCGCAGGGGUGCGUGGGUGCCCGGCCCCCGAGAGCCGCGGGCGCCCGCCGGGCUGGGGUCCCCGAGGCCGCGGGGUCCUGCCCCCUCCGAAGGUCCCGCGAACCGGUGGCGGUCCCCGGGCCCCAUC
rnacentral:lncRNA from 1 species